UUUUUAUCAGCUGUUUGGACUCUCAUUCUGACGGCACCCAUUCACUCCUGAGGAUCCACUGGUGAACAAAUGAUGUAAUGCUGAUUUUUUUUUCCAAAUCAGUUCUGAUGAAGAAACAAUCUCAUCUACAUCUUGGAUGGCCUGAGAGGAGAUUCAUGCAUCAUUCAGAUCACUCGGCCCAUCUUUAUGCCUCGACUGUCUUGGUGUCCUUUGUAUUGUGGACCUCCCACCACAAUGCACAUUCCCGAAGUCAAUGGGGUAUGGAAAACUCAUCAUUUUGAGACUUUUCUCAGUUCGCCAGACAGGCUGGGUUGGACCAUACUACAGGAAGACGCAGUACCCUGUCAACCACCACCUGUUACGGCCCACAUUUCAGACACUUCCAGAGCUACAGAGCACAGAAGCUUUGUCAUGCUGCAGAAAUGCUGUCGGUGUGAAAGCACAGUGCAAACCUGAUGUUGCAGUUACGCUGUGCUGCAUGAAACAGGCCUUAGGUUAAGUCUGACUCAGUUUUGUUUCAGCUACCAUCCUCCUACAAGAAGCUUGUACAGUCUCUCUGAGCUAUAAAACAGAGUAGCAGCACAGAAGAUUUGCAAAUUAUGUAGAACGCUGCUUCCAGCCAGGACAUUUGUCAGCCAUCUGCUCUGCAUCUGAGCUGCUGUCUACAUUUUGCUGUCCAUCCAAAAAAUAAAAUCCAAAGACAUACUGUAUAUCAGCAUGAACAUUUGAAGUUUUUGUUUUUAUUACCAUGCUGUACAUGUGCCUGUAUUUGCUCACAGACACUGUUAGCUGAUGAGAACUCUAGAUGCAAUGCUAGAUAUAAUAUCAGGUUAAAAAAACUUGUCUUUCUUUGUGCUUCACCUUUGUUUAAGUUAAGUAAACGUGCUAGAUGAGCAUCUUUGACUGUUGUGCACAAGUGCCACGUUCUUAAGAUGUUGUGUCAUAUUUAAUAACAUGUCACAAGAUAAUUUUCAUUAUGC
ensembl:lncRNA